rnacentral:rRNA from 1 species
GACGGGGGGGGGGAAGUGUUCUUCGGAAUGACUGGGCGUAAAGGGCACGUAGGCGGUGAAUCGGGUUGAAAGUGAAAGUCGCCAAAAAGUGGCGGAAUGCUCUCGGAAACCAAAUUCCACUUGAGUGAAGACAGAGGAGAGUGGAAUUUCGUGUGUAGGGGUGAAAUCCGUAAUAUACGAGGAAAGCAAACGACGAAAGCAAGCAACUCUGG